AUGGCACGUGUCAGGACGAGUCAGGACAUGUCAGGGCGUGGCCAUGGCACGAGUCAGGACAUUGUAGGACAUGGCAUGGCAUGGACAUGGCACGAGUCAGGACAUCGCAGGAUGCGUCAGGACAUGGCCAUGGCACGUGUCAGGACGCGUCAGGACAUGGCCAUGGCAUGUGUCGGGACGCGUCAUGACAUGGUAGGGCAUGGCCAUGGCACGAGUCGGGACGUCACUUGACUUGGCAGGGAGUGGCCAUGGCACGAGUCAGGACGCCGCAGGACGUGUCAGCACAUGGCAGUGGCACGUGUCAUGAUGGGUCAUGACAUGGCAGGGCGUGGCCAUGAUACGUGUUUGGACGGACAUGACCACGGUACGAGUCGGGACGUCGCAGGACAUGCAAGGGAGUGGCCAUUGCACGAGUCAGGACGUCACAGGACGCAUCGGGACAUGGCCAUAGUACGUGUCAGGACGCACCGGGACGCAUCAGGACGUGGUCAUGGCACGAGUUGGGACGUCCAGGACAUGGCAGGGCGUGGCCAUGGCGCGAGUCGGGACGUCGCAGGACAUGGCAGGGCUUGGCCAUGGCACGAGUCAGGACGUCGCAGGACAUGGCAGGGCGUGGCCAUGGCACGAGUCAGGGCGUCGUCCUGACGCGUCAGGACAUGGCCAUGACACGAGUGAGUACGUCAUAGGUUGCGUCAGGACAUGGCCAUAGCACGAGUCAGGACGUUGCAGGACACGUCAGGACAUGGCCAUAGUACGUGUCACGACGCAUCAGGAUAUGGCCAUGGCACGAGUCGGGACGACGCCCUGACUCGUGCCACGUGGCCAUAGCACGAGUCAAGAUGUCGCAGGACAUGGCAGGNNNNNNNNNNNNNNNNNNNNNNNNNNNNNNNNNNNNNNNNNNNNNNNNNNNNNNNNNNNNNNNNNNNNNNNNNNNNNNNNNNNNNNNNNNNNNNNNNNNNNNNNNNNNNNNNNNNNNNNNNNNNNNNNNNNNNNNNNNNNNNNNNNNNNNNNNNNNNNNNNNNNNNNNNNNNNNNNNNNNNAGAGUCGGGACGUCGCAGGACGCGUCAGGACAUGGCCAUGGCACGUGUCAGGGCGCGUCAGGACAUGGCCAUGGUACGUGUCAGGACGCGUUAGGAAAUGGGAGGGCGUGACUAUGGCACGAGUCGGGACGUCACAGGACAUGGCAGGCGUGGCCAUGGCACGAGUCAGGACGUCGCAGGAAGCGUCAUGACAUUGCCAUGGCACGUGUCAGGACGCGUCAGGACAUGGAAGGGCGUGGCCAUGGCACGAGCAGGACAUCGCAGGAUAUGGCAGGAUAUGGCCCUGGUACGUGUCAGGACGUGUCAAUACAUGGCCAUGGCACGACAUCGCACCUAGCCACACCACGUCACUCCAAGCCGCACCACGUCUAUGGCUUACCAAUUCUUUGGAACAUGUCAAGCGCAAUGAUGUUGGUGGUCGUUGGCGGCGGUGGUGGAAAGUCAGGGUGGUUCGAGCAGUAGCGUCCAGCGACGGCCGAUCGACGCUUGGUGGUUGGCUUCGGUUUCUUCAAAUCCUAAUCACUUGUUGUGGUUGGGCAACACGUCAAGCGCAAUGAUGUUGGUUGUCUUUGGUGGCGGUGGUGGAAAGUCACGGCGGUUCGAGCGGUAUCCACCUGCGACGGUUGGUCGAUGCUUUGUUGUUGGGGGCGGAUUUUUCAAAUCGGAAUCACUUAUUUUGGUUGCGACAAUGGAGGUGCCUCGUGCUUAUUGGCGUUUGGUCAUCUAUACGCUUUUAUAAUAAUGUUAUGUAUUUUUCCUAUUUUUUAAUAUAUUUUUUAGGAAUUUUUAUGCAUUUGUAUGCAUUUUUUUGUUACUUUAAAUUAUUUUUGUGUCACUUUUUAAUAAAAAUAUUAACUCUCUUAUAUGUUAUACUAUUCCAAGAUGUAUUGGAAUUUUUCUCCAUCAUUGUUUCUAUUUUUAUAAUAAUUUUCAUAUUUUUUAGUAUUUUAUUAAGUAUUUUUCAUUUUAAAACAAAAAUAGUUACAAAAAAAUUUUCUUAUAAAAAAUAUCAUUUACAAUGUUUAAAAGUCAUUUGUCAAUAUAUUAACCAAGUUGCACUCAAUAUUUCAAAAAAAUAUUAAUUUUAUGUAGAAAAAUACCAUUUACAAUGUUUAGAAGUAAUUUGUUAAUAUCUUAGCCAAGUUGUACUUUGGUUUGUGCUAUUUGGUGUUGUACAUGUCUAUUAUGAUUAUCUGGCCAAAACAUGUCUACUCUGAAACUUGAUUCUUAUUUUAAGUAUAUAUAAGGGGGGUAGAGGAGUUGAGAGACACCUCAGGUGCUUGCUGCCAGGAAGGGGCGGGCAUGCAUGGGGGACGGUGGCAUGGGGCGUGGGCUUUGGGGGCAUUCACAGCUUGUCCGUGCUACGUCCUCGAUGUUCCUAAACCGUGCCGGCAAGUACUCGUGUUGGCUUGUAGUACGCCUGGUGGUGGAACCGCUCGUGAAAAACAUUGGUUUUUGGCAACGAACAGUAGAGUGUCAUGCAAGUAGCGCCGCAAGGUGUCGUGCGCAUGGGGCGAAGCUCAGUACUUGUUGAUCGCCAUUCGAUGUUGCGGGCAAAAUCGGGAGGCGACAUCGCGAGUGGCGGCUGAUGGCUUUUGACAACAGAACGGCAAAGUGUCGUGCAAGUAGCGCCGCAAUGUGCCGUGCGCAUGGGACAAAGCUUAGUAAGUUGUUGUUGAUUGCCAUCGGUUGUUGUGGGUUGUGUCUAGAAUCUCUCGUGGUGGCUGAUAUCUUUCGACAACGAACGGCGGAGCGUCGUGCAGGUAGCGCCGCAAGGUGUCGUACGCAUGGGGCGAAGCUCAGUAGAUGUCGAUUGCCAUCGGUUGUUGCGGGCAACAUCGCUCAUGGCGGUUGAUGGCUUUCAGCAAUGGAACGGCGGAGCGUCGUGCAAGUAGCGCCACAAGGUGCGUGCACAUGGGGCAAAGCUUAGUAAGUUGCCUAUUGCCAUCGAUUGUUGUCGUUUGUGUCUGUAAACCCCCCUCCGUGGUGACUUAUAGCAUUUGACAAUGAACGGUGGAGCAUCGUGCAAGUAGCGCCGCAAGGUGCCGUGCGCACGGGGCGAAGCUCAAUAGAUGUUCAUUGCCAUCGGUUGAUGCGGGAAACAUCGGGAGGCGACAUCGCUCGUGGCAGCUGAAGGCUUUUGGCGUAAAAUGGAAAAGCAUCGUGCAAGUAGCACCGCAAGGUGCCGUGCGCACGGGGUGAAGCUUAGUAAGUUGCUGAUAGCCAUCGGUUGUUGCGGGCAACAUCGGGAGGCAACACCGCUCGUGGCAGCUGAUGGAUUUUGGCAACAAAAUGGAAAAGCAUCAUGCAAGUAGCGCCACAAGGUGUCGUGCGCAUGGGGCGAAGCUUAGUAAGUUGCCAAUUGCAAUCGGUUGUUGCGGGCAACAUCGGGAGGCGAUAUCGCUAGUGGUGGCUGAUGGCUUUUGACAACAAAAUGGCAAAGCAUCGUGCAAGUAGCGCCGCAAGGUGCCGUGCUCACGGGGCGAAGCUUAGUAUGUUGGUGAUUGCCAUCAGUUGUUGCGGGAAACAUCGGAAGGCGACAUUACUCGUGGCGGCUGAUGGCUUUUCGCAAUGGAACGGCAAAGCAUCGUGCAAGUAGCGGCGCAAGGUGCCAUGCGCAUGGGGCGAAGCUUAUUAAAUUUCCUACCGCCAUCGGUUGUUGUGGGUUGUGUCUGGCAUUGUUCAAAACCCCUAUUCGUGCUUUCGGGGCUUGUCUUGGCUUUGCAAUGUUCGCAUCGGCAACAACACAUGGUUGCGCGUCAUGUGUUGGGGAUGGUGUUGGCUUUGUAUCGGCGAGGCAAGUGUACGUGCCACACAUGAGUGGUGUUCGGCUUGUGUGGCUAGGUUGGAUCCCUGCUCGAGCAGCUACAUCCUAGCUUGCAUGCCAUCUCAAUCAUGUCACAAGCGCAAAUUAGGCUUGUUGGACGUCGGUUUUCUCUGUUGCAUACCUAAUUCCAAGGCAUUAUCAAGCAAAAUCGGUCGCCUUUCGACCCUCGCGUUUGACGUGCGGGGUGAACCAAAAGCUGCAGUUGUGUCCCAGGUCGUCCUGGCUUCGCCUUGCGAUGAAUUGGUCCACGACUUAGCAUGUUUGGGCUCUCGGAUUUGGUAAACGCAAUGGGCACGGUAUCACGCUCCGCCCUUUUUCUAAGAGGUUAUGCCACGCGGGCGAUGACUGCGCGAAACGAAGGCGAUGAUUUGGCGCACGCAUGGCACCCUUUUCUAGACAAGUCUAGAUCUUUCCACAAAUGGAAGACUCUAGACCCAUCUUGUAUAUAAGAUGUUUGUAGAGAUUUGUAGAGAUUUGUAGAGUUUUCUAGGAUUUUGAUCUUAGCCAUUAAUUAAAAUAGAUCUUAGCCGUUGGUUAGGGACACUAGCAACUAUAAAUAGGCUAGCAAUUGGCAUUUGCCAUCAUAGAAGAAGAUAGAAGACAUAGAAGAAAACAAUCAAGCAAUCCAACACUCUUGUACAAAGUUCUCUUGUUUAAUACAAUGUUUUCUCACAAGCUUCUCUUCUUAGCUUCUCUUAGCUUUGUUGUGGUGUUAGUUUGGGGAAAGGCUGACUUAGCACAUUGCAGGGGUGAAUUGUGACUAAGGCCGCACGGAAGAUAGCCAGGGAGUUAUCCGGUCCUUGACAGUUGGUAUCAGAGCAACACUACGAAAGGGUUCGUGGCUUACCUUUGGCACAUACAUGACAUGGCUAGCUGUGGUGAGGAGCAAGUUCGCAAGGGUCGCGAGGAGGAGUGCACCAUCCUACCAACACAUAAGGGAGGUAAGUCUCGUGACGUUCUUGCUAGUUUUGAAGCUCGUUUAAUUAAGCUUGAGAUAGCUAUGGCGGACACAAAAGAGAGGUUGGAUCGCAUGGAGCAAACCAUAGAAGAGUACGGCGAGAAGGUUGACACCUCGUUGGAUACUUUCCAAGAGAGGAUUGAUGUUGAUUGGAUGACACGGAGCAAACCUUAGAAGAGUACGGCAAAAAGGUUGACACCUCGUUGAAUACUUUCCAAGAAAGGAUUGAUGCUGCUGGGGCAGAGUUAGCCAACGAGAAUAGCUUGUUUUAAGCCAAAGUGCAUCAAGCCUUGGCAGAUUUGAGGCAGGACAUUGAUGGAGCCAAGUUAAGCUUGGAGGCAUCCAAGGCUGCUGUGGAGGAAACAAAGGCUGACUGGGCUAUGUGCAGAAGUGCUUUCAUGGCAAAAGAGGUUGCCUCGACAUCAACCGUGCAAGCCUGAGACACUGCCCGUGCCUUAGACAUGCCAAAGCCAAAGGAAUACGAUGGAGCUCAGGACGUAUUAGUCAUAGAUAACUACCUUUUGCAUAUGGAGUGCUACUUCGAGGCGCUCAACUUAACAGGAUUAGCCCUGGUACGUACUGCCACCUUACAUUUUACCGACAUGUCUGCACUUUGGUGGCGUAGGAAACGAGCCGACAUUGACAGAGGGCUAGUCGUCAUUGACACUUGGGAAGCCCUAAAGAAAGAGCUCAAGGAGGAGUUCUACCCGGUGCACGUAAGCCGCGAGGGUAGGGCAAAAAUGAGGUACCUCAAGCAGGGCAAUUCUAUCAAGGAGUAUGUUAAGGCAUUCUCCAAUUUAAUGCUGCAAUUGACAACAUGAGCGACGAGGCUAGGGCAAAAUGAGGGACCUCAAGCAGGGCAAUUCUAUCAAGGAGUAUGUCAAGGCAUUCUCCAAUUUAAUGCUGCAAAUCGACAACAUGAGAAAAUGAGGAUCUCUUAUUCAACUUCUUAUCAGGACUUAAACCUUGGGCGGUUCAAGAGUUAAGAUGAUCCAAGGCAGACGACAUUUCGACGGCUCUCAAGUUAGCUGCCACAUUGCAAGACUAUACUAGUGCUGACAAAGGGGUUCAUGUCAAGCACCAAGGUGAUUCAUCCAAGUCCAAGACUCAAAGGACUUGGCCGGUUAAAUGUAGGGGAGCCAAGGACGGAACCCACAAGCCAAAAACCCAUGGAGAUAAGGGGAAACAGGCCAGAGACAACAAGAAAGAGGCCAAACCAAGGGAGGGUUGCUUCCUAUGUCAAGGGCCACACUGGGCUAGGGACUGCCCACAGCGUAAAGCCAUGAGCGCAAUGUUGGAGCAAAAGGAGCAUGGCAAUGAAGCUACAAUGGGGUGUCUUAAGCUGCUUAGCGCAUUGAACGUUAAGACUCAUCACCAGGCGGGCGACAGGAGUCUCAUGUACGUGCAGGGGCACGUCAACAACAAGGUUUCCCACUUAAUGAUUGAUACGGGCGCCACUCACAAUUUCAUGACUCCAACCGAGGCGGAACGGUUGGGACUCAACAACAAGGUUUCCCACUUAAUGAUUGAUACGGGCGCCACUCACAACUUCCUGACUCCAACCGAGGCGGAACGGUUGGGAAUCAAGGUGACAAGCUCCAAGGGUUGGCUCAAGACUGUAAAUGCCGAUGCCAAAUCCGUGGAUGGCGUGGUGAAAGGGACCGAGAUGAAGCUACGCAACUAGUCAGGUAAGGUGGAUUUCUCGGUGGCAACAAUAGACGAUUCUCCAUUGUUCUAGGGAUGGAGUUCCUUUGGCAGUUCAAGGCUGUCCCGUUCCCUAGAUUCAACAUGUUAAUGAUCUUGGAAUGGGAACCAUGCAUGGUCCCUACUGUUGCACCUCCCAAGACAUCCAAAUCUCCUCAACUUAGUGCCAUGCAGCUGCCGAAGGGACUCAAACGUGGGGAGGAGACAUGGUUAGUCGUUCUUCAGCAAGAGGAAGAAGGGGGAGUUUAUGGUGAUAUCCCCGCUUGCAUCAAGAACAUGCUGGAAGAGUUCAAGGACGUGAUGCCACCCGAGUUGCCCCAUAAGCUGCCGCCCAGGCGUGGGGUGGAUCACAAGAUCGAGUUGGAACCAGGGGCUAAGCCACCAGCCAAAGCACCCAACCGGAUGGCGCCACCAGAACUGGAGGAGCUGCGAAAACAGUUGGGGGAAUUGUUGGAGAUGGGCUUCAUCCAACCUUCCAAGGCACCGUAUGGUUCACCGGUGCUAUUCCAACGCAAGGCGGACGGAUCGCAGUGAUUUUGCAUAGACUAUCGGGCUCUCAAUCAUCCAACCUGCCAAAGAACCGUAUGGUUCACCAGUGCUAUUCCAACGCAAGACGGACGGAUCGUAGCGACUUUGCAUAGACUACCGGUCUAAAUAAGGUAACAAUAAAAAAAGUAUCCAAUUCCUCUUAUUUCUGACCUUUUUGAUCAAAUAGGGAAGGCCAAUUAUUACAUAAAGCUUGACCUAAGAUCGGGGUACUAUCAAGUGCGCAUAGCCGAAGGGGACGAGAGCAAGACAACUUGUGUCACUCGAUAUGGGGCAUUUGAAUUCUUGGUGAUGCCCUUUGGCCUGACAAAUGCGCCAGCCACAUUUUGCACUCUCAUGAACGAAAUCCUGCAUCCCUACUUGGACCGGUUUGUGGUGGUCUACUUCGACGACAUAGUCAUAUAUAGCAACACCAUGGAGGAGCAUGUAGAACAUGUACGGACUAUUCUCAAGACCUUGCGGGAUCUCUCAUGAAUGAAAUCCUUCAUCCCUACUUGGACCGGUUCGUGGUGGUCUACUUUGACGAUAUAGUCAUAUAUAGCAACACCUUGGAGGAGCAUGUGUAACAUGUACGGACCGUUCUCAAGACUUUGCGGGACAAUGAGCUUUAUGUAAAGAAGGAGAAGUGCUCAUUUGCCAAGGAAGAAGUGCACUUCCUAGGCCAUGUGAUCAAAGGCGGCAAACUCAUGAUUAGGGGUGUGCAUUCGAUUUAUCGAUUCGAUUUUGACCCUUAUCGAUAAUUACUUAUCGAUUAUCGAUUUGUACAUAUGCCUAUCGUUAUCGUUUAAAGAAGAUCCGGGCGAUCGAGGAAUGGGAGCCACCGACCGAGGUACCAAAGCUUUGAUCUUUCCUUGGUCUUGUGAAUUAUUAUCGGCAUUUCAUUACAGACUAUUCAGCCAAGGCGGCACCACUCAUUGACCUACUCAAGAAGAAGAAGGCUUGGGAAUGGGACGACAAGUGCCAACGUGCCUUUGACAUGCUGAAGAAGGCUGUGACUGAGGAACCGGUACUGGCACUACCUGACGGCGCCAAGGCUUAUGAGGUGCACACAGAUGCGUCUGACUUUUCCAUAGGGGGUGUGCUUAUGCAAGAGGGGCAUCCGAUUUCUUAUGAAAGUCGCAAGUUCAACAACAGCGAGAGGCGCAAUACAGUACAGGAGAAGGAGAUGACUGCAGUGGUGCAUUGCUUGCGAGUUUGGCGACACUACUUGCUCGGGGCAAAGUUCGUGGUGCGCACGGACAAUGUGGCGACAAGUUACUUCCAAACACAGAAGAAACUCAGCCCUAAGUAAGCAAGAUGGCAAGACUUCCUGGCCGAGUUCGACUAUAUGAUGGAGCACAGACCGGGCAAGGCCAACUUUGUGGCGGAUGCACUAAGCCGCAGGGAACAAUGCAGCGACAAGCUACUUCCAAACACGGAAGAAACUCAGCCCUAAGCAAGCAAGAUGGCAAGACUUUUUGGCCGAGUUCGACUAUGUGAUGGAGCACAAACCGGGCAAGGCAAACUUUGUGGCGGAUCCGCUAAGCUGAAAGGCAAAAUUGUCGGCAAGGUCAAGAGUUCAGGUGGAGCUCUUGGAUUUUAUCAAGGCAGGCUUGCCGCAUGAUCCUUUAGCCAAGCAACUUGUGCAGAUGGCUAAAGAUGGGAAAACCAAACAAUUUUGGGUAGAAAGCGACUUGUUGGGCACCAAGGGGCAACGGAUAUAUGUACCCAAAUAAGAGAGGUUGCGCAAAAGUAUCAUUAAAUAGUGCCAUGAUACCGGAUGGGCGGGUCAUCCAGGACAAAAGCGCACUCAGGCAUUGGUAGAGGCUAAAAACUAUUGGCCUUGCAUGCGGGACGACAUCGAGUUAUACGUCAAGACUUGUCUUGUGUGCCAACAGGACAAGGCUUGCAACUGGACAGCAACCCUUGACACCGCAUGGACUUGUCAACAAGUAUACUGGGAAGUGUCCAGCGGCGUUCAAGGCAGCAAAAACUUGGCACGAGCAAACGGACUUAGCUCGGGCAUAUCUUGACAAGGCCUCCAAGAAAAUGAAGAAGUGGGCUGCCAAGAAGAGGAGGCACUUGGAAUUCAACGUGGGAGACUUGGUCAUGCUUAAACUCAACGCCGAGCAACAAAAGAGGCUAUGCAGGUUGUACAAGGGACUAGUUCGGCGCUACAACGUGGGAGAUUUAAUCAUGCUUAAACUCAACGCCGAGCAACAAAAGAGGCCACGUAGGUUGCACAAGGGGCUAAUUCGGCGCUAUGAGGGACCACUCCCCAUCCUUGCCAAGGUGGGAAAGGCUUCUUAUCGGGUGAAGCUGCCACUAAACUCAAGUUACAUCCUGUCUUCCAUGUGAGUUGUCUUAAGCCAUACCACGCAGACAUGGAAGACCCAUCAUGGAAUGAGUCACAUCGGGCACCACCAGCCAUUACCACAUCGUUUCACAAGGAAGUUGAAAGCAUCAUGGCUGACCAGGUGAUUCGGUGACGGUUCAGGAACAUUUGCAUGAGUACCUUAUUAAGUUGAAGGGGCUACCGGAAAGCGAGGCAAGUAUGGAGCCAAAGAAAGCUCUUUGGUAGUUUGAAAAUCAAAUACGGGCAUUCCACGAAGAGUCGAUGAGGGCGUCGACGCAAUAGGUGGGGCAUGUUGUCACGCUCCAUCCUUUUUCUAAGAGGUUAUGCCACGCGGGUGAUGACUAGACGACACGAAGGCGAUGAUUGGCACACGCAUGGCACCCUUUUCUAGACAAGUCUAGAUAUUUCAACAAAUGGAAGACUCUAGACCCAUCUUGUAUAUAAGAUGUUUUUAGAGAUUUGUAAAGUUUUCUAGGCUUUUGAUCUUAGCCAUUGAUUCAAAUAGAUAUUAGCCAUUGGUUAGGGACUCUAGCAACUAUAAAAAGGCUAGCAUUUGGCAUUUUCCAUCAUAGAAGAAGAUAGAAGACAUAGAAGAAAACAAUCAAGCAAUCCAACACUCUUGUACAAAGUUCUCUUGUUUAAUACAAAGUUUUCUCACAAGCUUCUCUUCUUAGCUUCUCUUAGCUUUGUUGUGGUAUUAAUUCGGGGAAAGGCUGACUUAGCACAUCGCAGGGGAGAAUUGUGACAAAGGCCGCACGGAAGACAGCUAGGGAGUUAUCAGGUCUGUGACAACGGGGCCUUUAUUGGCUCCUAUCUAUCCAAAGAAUGCUCCUUACGAAUGACGGUCUUGCUCGCCUUGGACUUGGCCGUGCCCUUUUGGGUCGGCCACGCUCAUGCGACGCCGGCGUCAAUGGGGAAUGCUACCUGGUUGAUCCUGCCAGUAGUCAUAUGCUUGUCUCAAAGAUUAAGCCAUGCAUGUGUAAGUAUGAACAAAUUCAGACUGGGGAAUGCUACCUGGUUGAUCCUGCAAGUAGUCAUAUGCUUGUCUCAAAGAUUAAGCCAUACAUGUGUAAGUAUUAACAAAUUAAGACUGUGAAACUGCGAAUGGCUCAUUAAAUCAGUUAUAGUCUGUUUGAUGGUAUCUACUACCCGGAUAACCGUAGUAAAUAUACAGCUAAUACGUACAACAAACCCCAGCUUCUGGAAGGGAUGCAUCUAUUAGAUAAAAGGUCAACACGGGCUCUGCCCGUUUCUGCGAUGAUUCAUGAUAACUCGACGGAUCGCACGGCCAUCAUACCAGCGACGCAUCAAUCAAAUUUCUACCCUAUAAACUUGGGCGUGAUGGCCUUGUCAUUAGCCUAUGUGCGAGCAAAACGAUCAUGCGGGUCGACAAGCUGUGGUGGAAAAUUGUUGGCCAAGGCCUUGGCAUGGUCAAGGUGCGCUUGGAAAAGGCUUGAAGAGGCAGCAUCAGCAAUGGUUGGGCGGCAUAGCACGGCAUGCGCGCCAAACUCAAUGGCAUGACACUCUUGGGUUGUGGCAGCUAUGUGCGGGCUAAGCUAAGGCGAUGCGAAAAUGCGGGUUGACGGCAAAGGCUUUCAAUAGCUAAGACUAGGCUAUGGGAAAAAGAAUACAAGCAAUGGCAUGAGGGAAAUUAGGUUGGCACGGACAAGGCAAAAAACUAGGCCAAGGCAGUGUGCGGGUGUAUGGGCGCCGGGCGUGUGCGGAAACAUCAUGGCAGCGGAUUGCCGGCAAGACAUUGGCAUGGGCAAUGUCUAAUUAAUCCAAGGAAUGGCACGGGCAGCCUUGGGGGCGAAAUUAAGCUGGCCUAGGAAAUGGCACAUGCAAAGCACAUGGAAAGCGGUUGGCAGCGGUUACCUUGUUUGUAGGCCAUGAUCUCCCAUGAUCUCCCAUUAUCCCAUGAACUGAUUAUUGUUUGUACUGUGGCCCCAUUUCGUGCAUAAUGAUCCUAAGUAGUUUGGGAUGUCAACUACAAGUUAGGAGCAUGAUGUAAAGAUGUUAGACAACAAGUGUCAUGAGCGGUUAAUUUUAAAGGCCUAUAAAUAGGACCUUUAACUUAGGCAGAAAUACGUAUAAUGAUCCUAAGUAGUUGGGGAUGCCAACUACAAGUUAGGAGCAUGAUUUAAGCUUAGUCCGACAAGUGGCAAAAGCUGUUUGACAAUAAGUGUCAUGGGCGGUUAAGUUUAAGGGCCUAUAAAUAGGACCCCUAACUUAAGCAAAACAACGAAGUAAGUUCAAGGGAAUUACUUGUGGGAAAAUAGAGUAAGUUCAAGGGAAUUACUUCGUGGGAAACAAUAGAGAAACGUGAGGUUUUUCUAGUGUUUCCAAAAGGGGGCUAAGGUUGUGCAUGGGCAGAUCUUAGUGUUUGCCAAGAACGACCAGGUGUUCUUCGUCAAAAGUGGGCUGUGAGCGGACGGAUAGUUCAUAGCAAUUGAGGGUCCUUCGUAUAUUUUCUAUAUUAAUGCAAAGGUUGAGAAUUUGUCAUGUAUAUGUUUUUGUUCCUUUAAAAUUCUAAUUUGUUGCCUAAAUUUCGUCUAAGGUCAAACUUGCUUAAAAUUGCAAGUGUUUCGGAAGGCUGAGUCAAGCACGGGACUUGACUGCCGCACGUGUGUGGUUUUGGACUAGGUCAAAAACGCCCCCGUGACACCUACCAUGGUGGUGACGGGUGACGGAGAAUUAGGGUUCGAUUCCGGAGAUGGAGCCUCAGAAAUGGCUACCAGCUCCAAGGAACGCAGCAGGCAUGCAAAUUACCCAAUCCUGACAUGGGGAGGUAGUGACAAUAAAUAACAAUACCGGGCUUUAUGAGUCUGGUAAUUGGAAUGAGUACAAUCUAAAUCCCUUAACGAGGACCCAAUCCUGACAUGGGGAGGUAGUGACAAUAAAUAACAAUACCGGGCUUUAUGAGUCUAGUAAUUAGAAUGAGUACAAUCUAAAUCCCUUAAUGAGGAUCGAUCAGAGAGCAAGUCUGGUGCCAGAAGCCGCGGUAAUUCCAGCUCCAAUAGGGUAUAUUUAAGUUGUUGCAGUUAAAAAGCUCGUUAUUGGACUUUAGGAUGGGCCGGCCGUCCGCCUUAGGUGUGCACCGGUCGUCUCGUCCCUUUUGCCGGUGAUGCCCUCUUGGCCUUAAUUGGCCGGGUCGUGCCACCGGCGCUGUUACUUUGAAGAAAUUAGAGUGCUCAAAGCAAGCCUACGCUCUGUAUACAUUAGCAUGGGAUAACAUUAUAGGAUUUCGGUCCUAUUACGUGGUCGUGCCACCGGCGCUGUUACUUUGAAGAAAUUAGAGUGCUCAAAGCAAGCCUACGCUCUGCAUACAUUAGCAUGGGAUAACAUUAUAGGAUUACGGUCCUAUU
rnacentral:lncRNA from 1 species